GACAGCAGAGCUGUGGCGUCUGGAGCAAGCAAAGGCUGAAAAGGAGCUGGAAGAGAGGGCGGAGCGGAUCGUGACAGCGGGUGGAGUAAACGC
rnacentral:ribozyme from 1 species